rnacentral:rRNA from 1 species
AUUGAACGCUGGCGGCAGGCUUAACACAUGCAAGUCGAGCGGAGCGAGGGUGCUUGCACCUUAGCUUAGCGGCGGACGGGUGAGUAAUGCUUAGGAAUCUGCCUAUUAGUGGGGGACAACAUUCCGAAAGGAAUGCUAAUACCGCAUACGCCCUACGGGGGAAAGCAGGGGAUCUUCGGACCUUGCGCUAAUAGAUGAGCCUAAGUCGGAUUAGCUAGUUGGCGGGGUAAAGGCCUAUCAAGGCGACGAUCUGUAGCGGGUCUGAGAGGAUGAUCCGCCACACUGGGACUGAGACACGGCCCAGACUCCUACGGGAGGCAGCAGUGGGGGAUAUUGGACAAUGGGCGGAAGCCUGAUCCAGCCAUGCCGCGUGUGUGAAGAAGGCCUUUUGGUUGUAAAGCACUUUAAGCGAGGAGGAGGCUACUAGUAUUAAUACUACUGGAUAGUGGACGUUACUCGCAGAAUAAGCACCGGCUAACUUCGUGCCAGCCGCCGCCGUAAGAC